ACAGCCUCUUAAUCAUUAAAUUUUGUUUUAUACAUGGAUACGAAAAAAUCAUUAUUUUGGUCAUUUAUUUUGUAUGCUCCAUAUGCCCAUAUGUAGGCCCCAUAUGCCCAUGGCCUAGAUACUGUGUUCCUGCUUCUCCUGCCUAACACCCUCCCUGCUUCUCUCACCCUUUGCUGUUUGUUUACAUUCCUGGCAUGUGAUCUGGUCAUGCUGGGAUUCUCCCUACAAAGGAUCAGGUUCCCCUGUCCUCCCACUCUGAGAUGCAUAGGUGUUCCAUUCUUGUGUUUCUAUUCCCCCUUACAGCAUCUGCUGAUGUGGCCCUCAAAGGGACCACCUGUGUGCUAACCUGGCUUCUGCAGCCUACUCCAUAAUUUUUAAGUUGGUCAACUGACACAAUUUCUUGAAAAAAAAUUUUGUUUAUCUGCUAGUUAAUAUAUAUGUGUAAAUAAUGUAGCCACAGUAUGCAUAUUUUGUGUCUGUGUAUGUGUGCUUGUUUUAAAAUCUGUAAAACUUAUAACCCCAGAUUACAAUAGCUCUGGGAAAAUGCAAACAAGUGGACAGCUGCCAUUACUGGUUGUGGUCAAAAUAGAAACCUCAGCACCACCUUCCGUAAGAGUACCCACAUGCGCUGAACCUACCAAGGAGACAUUCUGCCUCCAAUAUACUUUGGUUUACUAAAAUUUUCCUUCUAAUCUUCUUGCCUCUACUAGCAUUAGUAAGUUGUAACUGAUUGGGUAAACAAUAUGCCUAAAUUUAACUUAUAUGUUUAAUUUGGAUAUACCCGACAGGUAAUGAAACCCUGAUUCUCAAGCGCCUUUAUAGAUCUGUAACAAAAGAGCUUCUUGUGACAGAGAGACAUGCCAGCUCCUGCAGCAUCCUUUAGCUCCUUCGAGAAGAUGCAUGGUUGCAGAAGACCUUCUGCCUUGAGGCUUGCCUUUGGAUAUGGCAAAGCCACCCACACAGCAAAAAGCUGCCUUCCACUGCAUCAGCUUCCUGGACACUACACCAGGGGAUUGAUCAUCUCACCCUGCCAAGACAGGUCACUCCUCCUGCCUGGGCCAAGACUAACCUAUGGAGAGUUCUCCAAAUAACACCAGCACUUAUACCAGCUCACCAGCUCCUAGGACUUCACCAUUGGUACCAUCUCUCCAGGCUCGUAUGGGCACCUAUCCAGCAACUGAAAUCUGUUUUUAAAGGCAACCUGUCUUCUCAUCACCCUCAAGGAACAGAUGCCUGAGGUCUCCAGGAUGACAGUUAACCAGAUGCCUCUCCUGCCAUACCUUCCGCUGAGCAUGAGCCCACCAACUCCCAACUCUCCCCUUCCCCACAUCGCCUCAUGCCUGCAGAAAGCAGUCAGACUUGAGCCAGCACUCCUAUACCCAAAGAGUCUGGAAUGUUUGGGUUCAGGCUUCACCCCAGCCCCUGACAUCCAUAUAUCCAAAGAGUCUGGAAUGUUUGGGUGGAAGUUCCAUCCCAAGCUUUCUCCUCUGGGAGUUGUCUCAGUCUGGACUCCAAAAGUUCGUCAAAUGAUGACUCCCCGCUCCCCAGAGAUGCUCAAGACCACUCCCACAGGGUAUUUAAACAGCAACCCAGAGAACAAACAUGCGGUUUUCCAGUCUUCCUUUUCUGGCUCCUCUCUACAAGUAUGUGCCAUUAUUCUUGGCCUUUUUACAGUUUUUUAUAGCCCUUGACUUGCCUAGAACUUAUUAUGCAGACCCCAGGCUGGUCUCAGACUCAGAGAUCUGCCUGUUUGUAUCUCCAGAGUGCCAGGAUUAAAGAAGGCAUGUGCCACAACAUCUGUCAUGCUUUUUAUCUGUUUUUUAACAUGGGCUCCUGGAAUGAGAUAUGUUUGCAAGUCAAGUUAUUUUUUUCUGUUAAGCCAUUUCCUCAGUCUCCAACUAUGACUUUUGGUACUCAUAGACUGUUCCCAUUUCCUGUCUGACACCCUGCGAAUCUCAUUUCCCAACCCUUUGUAGUUGAUGGGGCUAAAUGACCAGAAACAAUGUCAACACUUUCAGGCUGGUCUGCCUGCUUCUAUGUCAGUCCAGGGUGAGUAUGGAACAUUCAGGCUGAAGAUGGCUGUGAAUAUUUACCCAGUUCCUUGCUGGGUGAUAAAAUAGAGUCGCAGCCCACCUUGGGAUAAGAGGACUUAACAUAAAUAAGGAGCCUCUUCUUUGGCUUCGUAGAACCUCAAUCUUAUCCAUUCCCUUUUCUCUCAUUCCUAGAUAUACAUCUCAUUAAGGACAUGGAUUACUGGUUCAUCAAAGAUUCAUCAAGAAUUAUCAGAGUCACUGAUGAUACUGAACAUUUAUUGACUAUAUAAAUAUUCAAUAAUAGACCAUAGUCCAUACCAGAUAUGCAACUGACAUACAAGGUUUAAGCAUGCAACUAUUAAAAGAGAAGAAAAUAGGAGUUGGGAAGGUGACUAAGUAGUUAAAGACACUUGUUUAUACAGAGGGCCAGAGUUCCGUUCCCAGCACCAGCAUCAAGUGGCUCACACCUGUCUUUAAAUCUAGACCAGAAGGAUGUAACUCCCUCUUCUGCUUCUGGGCAUCUACACUCACAUGACAUGCACACAUUUACACAUAAAUUAAAACCAAAUUAAUUUUUAUUAUUUUCUACUAUUCCAGGAAGACGAUAACCCUAGUAUUGGUGUUUUCUGGGUCUGGGUCUUCAGGGCGUACUUUUGGCAGAGAAUCUCUAGAUCUAUAACUGUGAUGUCCCAUCUCAUCAUUUGGUCUUCCUCAGUUGCCCUGGGCAUGCUCCAGCCAUGACAGCAAGAUAUCUGAAGGGACCCUGCAGCACAUCUGUAAUUGCCGUGACUGAAUGGGCACAAACAGCUCCCAGCUGGGCCUAGGUUUCACCACUGGCCCCAGACUGACCACACAUAUGACAGACAGCAUCACAUCUUCUCUAACCUCUUCCGGCUGAUCUUGCAGAUCAGCAGUGUUGCGUGCCUUGUUCCAGCUUUCUCAGCUCUAAUAACUUCCACAUCUUGACUGCUACUCUUAGGGUGCACUUAGAGCCUUUCUCUGUGGACAUCCAGUUUAAAUAGCACCAUUUGUUGAAGAUGCUUUCUCUUUUUGCAGUGUGUAUUUCGAGCUUCUUUAUCAAAAAUCCGGUGUGUGGAUUUGUGUCUGUGUCUCCAGUGGAUUUCAUUAAUCAGCGUUUCUGUUUUUGUGCCAAUGCUAUGCUAUUUUUAUUAAUAUAGCUUUGUAGCUAUUUUUUUAUCACUAUAGACUUAUUGCUAUAGCUUUUUUAUUACUAUCAUUUUGUCUUUCUCUGAGAUAAGGAAUGAUGAUACCUCCAGUAGAUAUUUUAUUAUUUAUGAUUGUUUUAGCUAUUUUUGGUUUGUUGUGUGUGUUUUUCUGUAUGAAGCUGAACAUUGUCCUUUCGGAUCUAUGAAUUGAGUUAGAGUUUUGAUGGAGGUUGCAUUGAAUAUGUAGAUUGUUUUUGUAGAAUGGCUAUUUUUACAAUAUUAAUCCUACUGAUCCAUGAGCAUGGGAGGUCUUUCUGUCAUCUGAUAUCUCCUUCAAUUUCUUUCUUCAGUGUUUUAAAAUUUUUAUCAUACAAGUCUUUCACUUGCUUGUUUAGAGUUAACCCCAAGAUAGUUGGAAUACCUUGGUGGAAGGUGUUGUUUCCCUGAUUUUCUUCUUAGUCCAUUUGUAUAUAGGAAGACUACUGGUUUUGGGAGGUUAAUUUUGUGUUCACCUAUUUUGCUGAUAGUGCCUAUCAGCUUUAGGAGUUUUCUGUGGAAAUUUUUAGGGUCACUUAUUAUACUAUCAUAUCAUAUGCAAAUAAAGAUACUUUGACUUCUUCCUUUCCAAUUUGUAGUAUUCCCUUGAUCCCAUUCAGUUGUUGUAUGUGUCCAGCUAAUACUUGAAGUACUAUAUUGAACAGCUGUGAAGAGAGUAGACAAUCUUGUCUUGUUCCUGAUUUUAGUGGAGUUGCUUUGAGUUUCUUUCUAUCUAAGCUGAUGUUAUCUAUGAGUUUACUGUACCUGCCUUUUGCUAUAGAAUAUUAUUUUAAGAUGUAUUAUAUUUGUUUAUACUGUGGGACAUUUAUUUAAUGAUGCAAAUAUGU